UACAUGUGGGGCAAGCGUUGUUCGGAAUUACUGGGCCUAAAGGGUGCGUAGGUGGCUUGUUAAGUCAGGGGUGAAAGUUUUCGGCCCAACCGGAAAAUGGCCUAUGAUACUGGCGAGCUCGAGUGCGUGAGGGGUAACCGGAACGAGCAGUGUAGCGGUGAAAUGCGUAGAUAUUGCUCGGAAGGCCAACGGCGAAGGCAGGUUACUGGUGCGCAACUGACACUGAGGCACGAAAGCGUGGGGAGCAAACAGG
rnacentral:rRNA from 1 species